rnacentral:rRNA from 1 species
UGGGGGAAACCCUGAUGGUGCGACGCCGCGUGGGGGAUAAGGUCUUCGGAUUGUAAACCCCUGUCAUGUGGGACAUUAAAAAGAUAGUACCACAAGAGGAAGAGACGGCUAACUCUGUGCCAGCAGCCGCGGUAAUACAGAGGUCUCAAGCGUUGUUCGGAAUCACUGGGCGUAAAGCGUGCGUAGGCUGUUUCGUAAGUCGUGUGUGAAAGGCGCGGGCUCAACCCGCGGACGGCACAUGAUACUGCGAGACUAGAGUAAUGGAGGGGGAACCGGAAUUCUCGGUGUAGCAGUGAAAUGCGUAGAUAUCGAGAGGAACACUCGUGGCGAAGGCGGGUUCCUGGACAUUAA